CUAAGCCCCAGAGGGAAGGGGCUCAGAGGAGAUAUCUGAAGCCGCUGGGAGCUAGUCCCCAGGAAGGGGACCUCUCCCGUGGGAGGGAGGGUGAGGGGAAGUGUGGAAGGAGAGAGUGAUAGUGUGGAGAGAGAAAUGAGAUGGAAUCGGGGCGUAUUUUCAUCUUCCCAAGCUGCCCUCAAGCUCCGCAUUAAACCGUGAUCCCUAAAACUGGGCCAAGGGGGAUUUUUCUAUCCUCCGCGUUUGCCAAGUCGGAUUCUCUAGACCUCCUUCUUCGCCAAUGCCCAGUGACCAGAGGGAAGGCCUUAUUGUGGGAAAUGAUGAUCUGGAGGAUUUCUAUAUGAACAGGAAGAACCUUCAUGAAUUGAUGCAGAGUGAAAUGAGCAGAACCAAGAGAACAUUGUACACAGAAAAUGAAACAUUGUGGACCGAUCAAAUGCAAUAGACUCUGCUGUUAACAGAACAAUCCAGAGGGACUUUUAGGAAAGAACGCUAUCCACAUCCAGAGGAAGAACUGUGGGAGUAGAAAUUCAGAAGAAAAAACAUGAUUGAUUGAUCACGCAGUUCGAUGGAUAUAUGAUUGGUUUUAAAAGAUCACUAUUACAAAUAUGAAUAAUAUGGAAAUGGGGUUUGAGCAAUAAUACAUGUAUAACCCAGUGGAAUUGCUUGUCCGCUCCAGGAGGGAGGAGGAAAGAGGGGAGGGAGGGGACAUGAAACAUGUAACCAUGGAAAAAUAUUCUAAAUAAAUAAAAUUUUAAAAAUAAAAAAUAAAUAAAAGCCCUA